rnacentral:rRNA from 1 species
GACAGAGGGUGCAAACGUUGCUCGGAAUCACUGGGCGUAAAGGGCGUGUAGGCGGGAAGGUAAGUCGGGCGUGAAAUCCCUGAGCUCAACUCAGGAACUGCACUCGAAACUACUUUUCUUGAGUGCCGGAGAGGAAAGCGGAAUUCCUGGUGUAGCGGUGAAAUGCGCAGAUAUCAGGAGGAACACCGGUGGCGAAGGCGGAUCUCUGGGCCUUACCUGACGCUCAGGCACGAAAGCUAGGGGAGCGAACAGG